rnacentral:lncRNA from 1 species
UCUCUCACAAUAUCUGACACACGCUCUACAUAUAAUUAGAUUAAAAUUGUUUUUCGAGUAAAAACACAAAAUUUUAUAAGAAUAAAAUCGGGACACAAAAUCUCAAUACUACAACAAUGUGUUUAUAAGUAAAGUGAGGACUAAAGUGCAAACCACUUUUUGAGAAUACACUGCAUAUGUUGUUGUUAUCUUCUUAAUUCAUUGCUUUGAUGUUGAAUGUUUUGCCAACAAAUGCAGAA